rnacentral:rRNA from 1 species
CCGGCCUUGACAUCCUCCCGAAUGCAGAGUAAUGUCUGCAGCCUUUCGGGGCGGGAGAGACAGGUGGUGCAUGGUUGUGGUCAGCUCGUGUCGUGAGAUGUUGGGUUAAGUCCCGCAAGGAGCGCAACCCCUGCCGUCAGUAGCCAGCAGGUAAAGCUGGGCACUCUGAUGGGACAGCCUGGGAUAACCAGGAGGAAGGCGGGGAGGACGUCAAAUCAUCAUGCCCCUUAUGGCCGGGGCUACCCCCGUGCUACAAUGGCGUAAACAGAGGGAAGCGAGCCAGCGAUGUUAAGCAAAGCCCCAAAAUAACGCCCCAGUUCGGAUUGCAGCCUGCAACUCGGCUGCAUGAAGCCGGAAUCGCUAGUAAUCGCGAAUCAGAAUGUCGCGGUGAAUACGUUCCCGGGU